rnacentral:lncRNA from 14 species
GAGGAAGAAGUAGAGAAGAAAUGGCUCUUUUAGGCACUGCUGGAAGGAGUGGCUUACUGUUCUAAACAUAAUGGAAAUGUUUGAAUCCUCUGAGCCAAUGAGUUAAAUUGAGGAACUGUAGUCAAGAAUGGAAUUAUGACACCCUUCUAUUGGAAGACAAAACCUCAGCCAUCUGGGAAUACAUAACAGCAUCAAGUCUGGUGCCACAUCAAAAUGGAGCAGAAGAGAAGUAUACACUGGACAUACACUGCACAGCUACUGGAUGAACAGGAAUUUCAUCAUAAGCAAUUAUAUCUGCUCAAGUAGGAAGAGUCAUGUUCAAUAAACUCCUUCCACCCAUCUCCUUCAUUUAAGGCCAGUCUUUAUAAAAAAUGUCUUUCUGGAUGUUUGUUAUCAUUCAAGAUUGAAACAAGCAGGCCAGGUCACCUUCCUCAAUCUUGAUGCAAGAAGUGCAGCAGGAACCCAUGAAACUGGGAGAGGGUGAAGUCUCUGAAAUAAACGUUAUCUCAAAUUUCCUUGCUAUUUCC